AUUCCCCAGCAACACAUAUAUAGAAAAUGGCCAGAAGUGGCGCUGUGGCUCAAGGACUAGAGGAAUAUGAGUUAACAAUUGUGGUUGGUCAGCCACUCAUGGAUAACCAAGAACUGGAUCCAGGGAUUCAACAUCCAAAAAUUUAAGUACAGUUCUAAAGUGAUCAUAUACCAGCA